rnacentral:rRNA from 1 species
CUUUUGCUGGCGGCCGGCGCACGGGUGAGUAACACGUAUCCAACCUGCCCUUUACUCGGGGAUAGCCUUUCGAAAGAAAGAUUAAUACCCGAUAGCAUAAUGAUUCCGCAUGGUUUCAUUAUUAAAGGAUCCGGUAAAGGAUGGGGAUGCGUUCCAUUAGGUUGUUGGUGAGGUAACGGCUCACCAAGCCUUCGAUGGAUAGGGGUUCUGAGAGGAAGGUCCCCCACAUUGGAACUGAGACACGGUCCAA